rnacentral:lncRNA from 1 species
UUUUUCCUGAGAGAUUUGUUGGGACACUACACCAAAAGAGACCUUUAGCGGCAAUUGAUUUUUCUUUUAGUGGCAAUAGUUAUUGCCACAAAUACAUUACCGGCAUUUGAUUAAAUGUCAUUGGAUCCAAUGUCGCUAAAGCCUUUAGUGGCAUUUAUGUCGGGUGCCGGUAAAGACCCUCAUUAUUGCCACUAAAAGUAAUUACUUUUAGCGACUUUUAUUUAGUGGCAUUUACUAUUGCCAUUAAAGCUACUUUAGAAACAAACAUAUGUGUGGCAUUUAAAUUCACCUUAAUUCACAUAUUUACCCUCUUUUAUAACAUCAAAAACAAAAUUCACAAGAGAAAUAAGUUCGAAAGUAGUAAAGAAGAAUUAUCAAACUCAAAACAAUGUCAUUUACUUAAAAUAAGAACAAACAAUCUUAAUACAUUCAACUUCUUAUCUUGUAGCGGAAAAACAAACUAUGAAUUAUCAAAAUAGAAAAAAUGUGUUCAACAAUGGAAACAAUAAGGCAAUUAAGCCAGUGUUUGUUCCCUAAUGCAAAAUGUGACAGCUUUCUGGAUCAGUGUGUCAGUCAUUCCUUGAACAAGCUCACCAUUUGAAUGAGUAUGCCACUGUACACAUAUAGCGGUAGAUGGUUAGACGACAAAAAAUUGACAUGCCAAUUACAUAUCUUACUCACUAAGAUCUAGGUGACUAAAAUUUGAAAUAGAGACAGAAUAGAAAAGCACCACCCAUGGUCCCGUCAUGUACCUAGUUCAAAUAUAAUAUUUCAUAUCACAACUAAGGAAUCAAUUGACAAGCAACAACCUCAUUAGCAAGAGGAAUAAACUAAAGUAAUGCCUUUUCAAAUCCACCAAGCAGUUCAUAUAUAUGACGUCCUGGCAAGUCUAAAGUAGUGUGUUACUACACACCAACUCAAACACUAAGGUUCAGGAAACAUUUACCGUCAAGCAAAAUCUCAGAAAAUAUUAAUAAUCUCAUAAUAACUUUUAACUAGUUGAUUAUACUCCAAUGCUUGACAUAUGACUUAUCAAGAAAUUAAAAUCAAACUAAGCAGCAAAUAGAGAACAGUUGGUUCUGAUACUUGAAACUGGCAACCACCAUCAAUAAUGGAAUUUUUGUUCAAGUUAACUACCUUAAUCAAUAAUAAGAAUUUUUGUUCAAAGAGCACCAUCAAAAGCAAUAGAUACAACCUCACCCACUAUCAUACAAACUCGGAUACAACAACUUGUGAUGCUGUAAUUAACACAGUAUAGGAGAAUAUUAAGAUUGAGCUCUGAAUUGACACAUUUGGAAGAUCACUAAGUAGCUACGAAUGAACCUGAAGGAAGUUCUUCAUCAUGGUGAUGUAUCCUCAUGUCUGCUCUUCAUUCCUUCAAUCAACGAAUUACCUAUAUAUAAAGAGAACAUGUAGUUUUAUUUAGUUUCACUUGCCUUGACUCGAAAAAAUCUGAAAUUCAACAUACUCCAUCAAGACAUUAGCAUUUACACCCCUCCAUCUUGAUCUCUUAAAAGCACUUAACCUAGUGAAACAAUAAAAUUACAUUAUUCCUACAUUAGGAUCCUUUAUAAUCCAAUUCUUGCAAUAAGCAAAAUCACUCCUUUAACAUACUUGACUUCUAUUAAGAGCCCUUUUGAUUGAUAAAGAAAUAAGACAUUUACACUAAGAAUAAUAGAAAAUAGAUUGGAUAAAGAAGGAGGGAUCCAAUGGAUUGACAACCAACAUGAAGUUAAUUGAUUUAUGAUGAACCCACACAAAAUGGUAUUACAUUAACAAUUGACACAUAACGAGAUUGAACUAGGAAUACAAAAACAAGUACAAGCCAUAAUAAUAUGAGAUACAUACAAGUUACUCAUGCCCAGUAUUUUGGUCUUCUAAGUUCAACACCCAAAGUAACAUCAAUAGAACGUACAGAAGUGUAGAAGAUUACAAGCAAAGUGAUACUUAGUCCUUUUCGGAAUAUAUAUCCUCUAUUCACAAUUGCUCAUUGUAUGAAAUAUAGUUGUACAGUGUGCAAAUGAGCUGGAGCAGACCAAUACCUAUGUUAAUGUUCAUCGAAUUUCUAGAAGAAAUAAGAGUGAUAAAAUGUAGGUACAUUAGGAACUUGAAUAUCAGAUUUUGCAUAAGUGCGCGAAGUCUCAAGUUCACUGCAUAAACUGUAAAAGUACACUCUAUUGAUUCACUAGCCUGACUUCGGCAGCAGAGAUCACGAAAAGAUUUAGCCUAGUAAUUGAAAAUUUGAGUUUUAUAUGAAUAAAUAUAGUUUCAAUUAACUACUAAGUUUAGUUGUUUACCUUCAAAUAGGAGAUCAAAAAUCGAACUCCACAAUAGCUAAUUUGGUUGCUAUCUGCAAUUCUGCACCAAUUUUAUUGAACACAAGAUCAAACUAUGCGAUAUAGAAACACAUGCAUCAAUUCAAACAACAUAAAAGAUAGAACUCUAGAACAUACACCCAUACAAGGCCCAACAAUUGAAUAAAAUGGAUAUUAGUAGUCACCAAAUGGCUGGCUGUACAGUUCGAAUUCAAUCUGAUUGAAUAUGAGGCAAUCGGCGAUGAUGAAUUUGCUAAUAUGAAUACAAACUGCUAACGGUGAGCUUGUGAAGAGACGUCGACGGCUUUGAUUCGUCUUUCUUCUCAUCAAUAGCACUGAUGUACUGAACUCCGCUGCCGAUGUGCCGAACUCCACUGCUGUUGUGCCGAUUUCCGCCGCCGUCGUGUUGAUUUCCAUUGCUGACCAUUUGAGUUUUCGUUGAAGGGAGAAGACGGAGGAAUAUUCAAAGUAAAAAGGAUUGGGGCAAAAGUAAAAAUAAAUAAAAUCAAUUCAGUGAAAAGGAAUUGGGGCAAAAACGAUUAUACCCUAUUUAUUUUAAUUACCGGUGAAAAGUACUUGGUAUACCGGCUAAAGUUUAAAUGCCGAAAGAUGUAUACUUCCUCCAUCCCAAUUUAUGUGAGGUACUUUGAUUCGGCACGAAGUUUAAGAAAGAAAGGAAGACUUUUAAAACUUGUGGUCCAAAAUGAAUGAUAGAAAUUUGUGUGGCUGUAAAUCAUUUCAUUAAGGGUAAAAUAGACAUUUUAUAGUUAAAUUGUUACUUAAUAUAAAAAUGUGUCAUUUUUUUGGGACUGACCAAAAAGGAAAGUAAGUCAUAUAAGUUGGGACAGAGGGAGUAGUUUAUAUGAUGUAUAGUGGCAAUUUGUUUAUUACCACUAAAUAAAUGUCACUAAAAGCAUUUUUUAUUGUAAUGGGAGCAGUAUAGAUUUUCGUGGACGUGACUUUCAACUUUUACCAUUUGGCUCUGGGAGAAGAAGCUGUCCUGGAAUGCAGUUGGGAGUUACCAUCGUUCGCCUUAUGGUGGCACAGUUGGUGCAUUGCUUUGAGUGGGAGCUUCCAAAUGGUAUUGAGCCUUGUGAUUUAGACAUUGAUUAGAAGUUUGGAAUGGUAACAUGUAGAGAAAAACCUUUGCUGGCUAUUCCUACUUAUAGACUAUACAAAUGAUACAAAUAGCAUGAUUGUUGUGUUCUUUCCCUUCUAUUCUACAAAUACUGCAUUGACAGUACAUCUAUACCUAAUAAAAUUGGUAUCUUC